GAUACAGAUAGCAUUAAUGGGGGACAUGGCAACUAUCCACUCUCCUGUGGUGGUGUCUCUUUCCGAGUUGCUACCACCUGGUGGGGUAGAUGCUUUGCAUUAUGUGUAUACUGCCACUGCAGGUCAAGGGCCACUCUCAGCACAAAAACAACUUUAUACUAAUCAAUGCUUUUAGUGCAUAGACCCUGUCUCUUCUAUUGCACAACGUAAAAUAUUGUCAUUUCUGAGAAACAACACUGUUCACAUGUAUCUGAUACCAUGCCUCUUGGCUGUCAGGGGCUCGACCUUCUGAAGGCUUUCAAAAAUUGCAGACCUUCAUGUUUUGUGUAAUAACAGCCAGCUUGAUGAUGCUGUACAGUCUUAAAGUUUGCCAUAGAGAAGUAUCUGAUCAGCAGAGCAUGGCAAUUGCAAAUGCACCCUGAGUCGCCAAGAAGCGGUGGACUGAAUUAAUGACUUCCAUGGAGGAAGAACGGUUGAUGCCCCGAAAUUAAUCCAGCACUGGAAUAAAGG